AGCAGCCGCGGUAAUUCCAGCUCCAAUAGCGUAUAUUAAAGUUGUUGCAGUUAAAAAGCUCGUAGUUGAAUUUCGGGGUUAGUAGGUUGGUCAUGCCUCUGGUAUGUACUGGUCUCACUGAUUCCUCCUUCCUGAUGAGCCGUAAUGCCAUUAAUUUGGUGUUGUGGGGAAUUUAGACUGUUACUUUGAAAAAAAUUUAGAGUGUUUAAAGCAGGCCCACGCUUGAAUACAUUAGCAUGGAAUAAUGAAAUAGGACGUUUGAUUCUAUUUUGUUGGUUUCUAGGAUCGACGUAAUGAUUAAUAGGGAUAGUUGGGGGCAUUAGUAUUCAAUUGUCAGAGGUGAAAUUCUUGGAUUUAUUGAAGACUAACUACUGCGAAAGCAUUUGCCAAGGAUGUUCUCAUUAAUCAAGAACGAAAGUUAGGGGAUCGAAGACGAUCAGAUACCGUCGUAGUCUUAACCAUAAACUAUGCCGACUAGGGAUCGGAUGAUGUUAAUUUUUUAAUGACUCAUUCGGCGCCU
rnacentral:rRNA from 1 species